AUGCUUGAAGCGUGUUCAGCUGACAUUGUCGGCGACAUUGUUAGGUAGCCACGAUCUGAGAGGUUGCUCCGUGCCAGUCGCGGGAUCGAAUGAAGACCGCUGAAGCGUUCAGAGAUGCGGUCACUCCCCAGACGUGCUGGUGAGCGAACGC
rfam:Pseudomonas fuscovaginae strain IRRI 6609 Pf_IRRI_6609_contig_10.10, whole genome shotgun sequence.